GUGCUCACUUCGGCAGCACAUAUACUAAAACUGGAACGAUACAGAGAAGAUUAGCAUGGCUCUUGCGCAAGGAUGACACGUCAAAAUUUUUUUUUUU
rfam:Callithrix jacchus chromosome 12, whole genome shotgun sequence